rnacentral:lncRNA from 7 species
UGUUCAUUUUCAGUUCUACAUGCUAGCAGGGAGGCAUCCCUACCAUGAGAAUAUUACAAAAAUAAAUCACAGGAAUGCAUUUCUACCAGGGUUCAGGAGUCCAAAAGGAAGAAAAAUCACUUAGAUUAGUUUGAAGCCCUUUGGAAAUGCAGUCGUCACUCAGCCUAGCAUGUGAUAAAGGAAAGGCAGCCACUCUCCAAUAACGCAGAAACUGUGCUUGUUUUAAGCAUCAAUUGUGACAACAUCAUUAAAAAAUCAGCAUCAUUACAACCACAAGGACCUUUUCCAUGUGAGAGCACAUAAAACAUUAGUAGUGAACUUCCGUCUGCUGACAUAUGUGUUGCACCCUCCAAAUGAACUGGAAAGAAGGUAGAAAGUAGAGGUUUAUCAGGCAUCAAGUUCAGCCAUCCAAAUAUCACAAUCCUCAUUUUUGUUGCUAGCUCUAUGCAAUUUUGAAAUGGUUUGUAAAUUUAAUUGUCGGUGUAUGGAGUGUAUGUAGGCCAUGCACAAGCAACAGCGCUGCUAGGAUUAAGCAGCUCUCUUUUUUUAGGCAAGUAGGUCUAACCUGCUUUGUUGGAAGCAAAAUGAACCUUUUUAAGUUCGGUUAUUGACACCAUCAAUGAACAAAGCAACGAAGCUGAUGUUGCAGCAGCAGAUGACUGAGCCAAGAUGCAACUGACUCCCCAUAGGCAGUAAUGAGCAUGACUUGUGAAGUAGUAAACUACUUGCCAAUGAAAAGCAAAAAUUGUUAUAAGUGAGACUUUACAGCUAGAAAAUAUUUUAGAAAAAUUAAUAGCAGUGAUCAUAUACCAAUGCAUAGUUAAUUACAUCAAUGUUGAGGCUCUAGCAAAAGGCUACCACUGCUUUUCCAGGAUCACUGGAUGGCAGCUGUACCUAUGAAUUGAAGCAGUGUGUCCAUAAAUUAAUGCCUAUUUAGCUUGGCGUAUUUGAUUUUUUUUUUCCUUAUUUGCUUUCCCGUAAACUCCUGUUUCAAAGAUUUAUGUCAGAGAGGCAAUUUUCUUCCCAGGAGAGUUAUCUUUUAGUCACAAAAGUAGGUCCCCAGAAUCACAGCUUAUUGCAACAGCACAGAAGAAUAAGUCAAGAGUUAUCACCAAGUACAGCCAAUUCAAAAAAAAUCAUUUUUUUCAUUUUGGAUUAUUUUUCAGUUCCAAAUCCAGUUUCUGAGUUAUGAUUAUGAGGCUCUCAGCUCUAGGCUCAGUUCUAACUAAAAUUUUCAAGAAAUCACAGGACUAUUGUGUUGAAAAGCCCUCUCAGAAAUUAAAGGAAAACAUACAGCUGUUGAGCUGAUGGCUUGGAAAUGCACCACGUAGCCCUCAUCGCAUGAAAUGUUAGCUCAAACUCACAAGUGUGCUCAAAUUACUCUUUGUCUGCUGGUGACCUCUGUCUUUUGAGCUUAACUCACCGUUGCAGAAGCCCAAAGGAGUAAUGUAUGGAGUCUGAAUGCUAGUGUACCUCUCUACCCUAUGUCAAGUAGAACAGUGUUCACCUUUACUACCUUAUGAAGGUGAAAACUAAGGACUUCUGGAAAAGUGAAAGUAUUCAAGCAGGAUUUUGAACAUUACCAGAAAGAGCUACUGGGAAAAAUUUGAUAGGUGCCGUGUGUAUGAACAAGAACAAGAGACUGGGAGCAUUAAUAAAAGCAUCAAUUAACAAGAACAUGCAAAGUGAGAGAUGUCAUCAGGCACCAAAUCAGUUAAUUAAGUCCAGAAAUGAAACUUAGAUAUUUCUUCUGUGGAUUACCUGCAUUCCUUUAUUCAUUGUUUUGAGCAGACUACAAGGUCUUCAUUCUACGUUGGAACUCCGUGGGGACAAUUCUUACGGGUUUUGACAGUGAGCAUCUAAACAGCACCACAGCACUGUGGGGCAUUCGAGGUGAAGUCAUUCUUAUUGAAGGAGCCAGCAUAAUUUCUCUGCACCAUUUAAAUCCAAACAAAUCCUAUUUUAAGCACUUUGGAAUGACUUGAGUGAUGCAAAGGCCUUUUCUUGGGCUUUCUGCCCGGGAGUGAAUUUCACCCUCAGUGAAUUAUUAUUAUUAUUAUUGGACUCUACUUAUGAAAACAUAAAGCAAAUAACCCAUGCAGAUAAUAUUAAAGCAGUGGGAAAUGGAAAUUCCUAGUAGACUGAAGAAUUAAGUAGGAAUUUUUAUACAAACCUUCUUUCUGUGCUACAGGAGGAUGCACUGGAUGACCUCUGGGUCUCCCUCGGUCUGACCAGCAACAGCUUCUUGAAAAAACUUUUUCAUAAAUACCCGAUAUAUCAGGCAUCAAGGCACACUUUUCUCUCUAUUUUUUUUCUCUUGAAAAAUACUGUAGGUCUAUUAUAUUUUCCCAUUUUUUUGCAAGUAUUUCCUGAGUCAGAAACGAUGAUAUCCUGAAGAUGAAGUGAUGGCAUUGUAGCAUUUUUCUUACGCCCCUGAUAAAAUCUACUAUUUCUGCUUUCAUGUAUAUGCGUGCAUCGCUAAGGAUCUAUUUUGUCCUCUAAGUUCUCUUU